GGAUCUCUUGUUGCACUUUGUUGAUGAACAACGAGAUAGCUAGCUAACCACUUGGAACAGUUCAUACAGAAAAUGAGUGAAUUAUUUGAGAAUAUCAACUUCUGACAUUUUGAUGCUGAGCCUGGCAGUUGAUAAUGGAUUCUCCAGGCUCUUGUUCAGGAAAAGGAUCCAAUGAACGUCCACCAAGGAUUGAUACUUUACUCCACAGGAAGAAUGUCAAGGAAAAAGAAGAGAGUUACAUUUCUAUGUUACUAAAGAAAAACAAACAUGUCAACAGAUCAUGUAUAAAAUUGAGUAAAUUAUCAGGUGUGGGAGAAUCUCCCACUGAAAAUGCACUAUCAUCAAAUGUGUCCAGGU